AUGGGGGGAGGGACGAAGAGAGGCGGCGGCGUGGUUGAUGAGCCGGAGGACAAGUCCAGCAAGCGUCGCAAGAUCUGCAACGUCGCCAAGGAAGACGUGCUUCCCCUCGCUGUCUUCUCCCACCUACCGGCUCGCGACGCCGCUCGUGGCGUCGUACUCUCCAAGCGGUGGAGGGAGAUCUUGACCGGGGGCGACUUCUGGGCCAAUCACUACCAGCGCCCCAGCAAGGAGGUAUGCCUAGCCUAUCUCGACCGCGGCCAUAGGCUCCCGUUCAAGUUCAGUCUCUACGGGCUCGAGGGAAAGCACGCCUUCUAUCUUGUUGCCGCCGGCGACACGUUUCCUAUCUCUCACGGCCUGCCCGUCGCCGGCACCGAGCUUUCGUACAGGUUCUUUGGGUCUUGCAACGGCCUUGUUGCCUUCGAGCAGCGCGGGCUGAGCGAUUCCUCUAUGACAUGUCUCGUGGCCAAUCCUGCAACGUCUCAACACUUGACCGCUCAGCUCUUAGAUCUGGGCACCUUCUCCUGGAUGCUCGCCUUCGGGUAUGAUCCUAAGGAAGAUAAGUAUAAAGUGUUCGUUCAGUGUGGCAGUGAUGUACAUGUCGUGCCCCUUACCCUGAGCGGCACCGACGGCAGCAGGCCUGUCACUGUUCUACCUAAUGUGGCUCACGACUUGGACAAAUUGCAAAACAACACCUACUCGCUGUGCAUUGAAGGAAACUGCUAUGUUCUGCUAUCCCCCAGGGAUGAUGGUACUGGGUCUCAAUCCAGCAAGGAAAAACUUCUCGUGUUCCAUGUGCAGAGCGAGUUGGUGACCAGCAUUGACACGCCAGAGGAUGGCACCCUGUUUUCAGGCAUAAUGGAGAUGGGUAAGAGUGUGUGCGAUACGACUUUGUCUCGCGACCGCCCGGAGAUAACAUUGUCUGUUCUGAACUCUGGUCUUCUCUGGGAGCGGAUGUGCUGUUUGAGCGUCUCACCAUCACCAGGAGGAAGGGGGCCUGGACUGCUUGGGGCCUGGCAAUGCAAACAACGCCUCGUGCUUUGGUUCCGCGAGCAUGGUCUUGCGUUCUACAAUCUCAGUCCGGCGAAUCUCGUUGACGCCGUGCACGGGUGCACACAGACAUGUAGCUUGGAGGGCUACCAAGAGGAAAAUCAUUAG
rnacentral:rRNA from 1 species